rnacentral:rRNA from 15 species
CGUCAGCUCGUGUCGUGAGAUGUUGGGUUAAGUCCCGUAACGAGCGCAACCCCUAUCCCUAGUUGCUAGCAGUUCGGCUGAGAACUCUAGGGAGACUGCCGGUGACAAACCGGAGGAAGGUGGGGAUGACGUCAAGUCAUCAUGCCCCUUAUGUCCAGGGCUUCACGCAUGCUACAAUGGCCGGUACAAAGGGCUGCGAUACCGCAAGGUGGAGCGAAUCCCAAAAAGCCGGUCUCAGUUCGGAUUGGGGUCUGCAACUCGACCCCAUGAAGUUGGAGUCGCUAGUAAUCGCAGAUCAGCAACGCUGCGGUGAAUACGUUCCCGGGCCUUGUACACACCGCCCGUCACACCAUGGGAGUUGGCUUUACCCGAAGGCGG